UACUGUAAGAUAAGCACCGGCUAAUUCCGUGCCAGCAGCCGCGGUAAUACGGGAGGUGCAAGCGUUAUCCGGUUUUAUUGGGUUUAAAGGGUGCGUAGGCGGCUUAUUAAGUCAGUUGUGAAAUCCUAGUGCUUAACGCUAGAACUGCGAUUGAUACUAUUAGGCUUGAGUUAAGAAGAGGUAAGUAGAAUUUAUGGUGUAGUAGUGAAAUGCUUAGAUAUCAUAAGGAAUACCAAUAGCGUAGGCAGCUUACUGGUCUUUAACUGACGCUGAGGCACGAAAGCGUGGGGAGCAAACAGGAUUAGAUACCCUGGUAGUCCACGCUGUAAACGAUGAUCACUCGAUAUACAUG
rnacentral:rRNA from 1 species